UACAGGGGGUGCAAACGUUGCUCGGAAUUAUUGGGCGUAAAGAGCUCGUAGGUGGCUUGUCGCGUCUGCCGUGAAAGCCCAUGGCUUAACUGUGGGCGUGCGGGCGAUACGGGCAGACUGGAGUACUGCAGGGGAGACUGGAAUUCCUGGUGUAGCGGUGAAAUGCGCAGAUAUCAGGAGGAACACCGGUGGCGAAGGCGGGUCUCUGGGCCGAUACUGACGCUGGAGGAGCGAAAGCGUGGGGAGCGAACAGGA
rnacentral:rRNA from 1 species